AUGGUUGAGGCCAAAUCUGUAAACAGGAGGAACGGGGAUCCCCGGGGAAGGAAUCUGGGCUGAAUUUGAAUCCCUCAGGAGUCAGAGGGACUUAGGAACAGAGCAGGUGGUAGAGAAGACAGUUGGAAGGGAGCAGGAAAAGAGUCUUGGAUUUCAACCGUGAGUGCCCCCAGCUGGAAGCUCAAAGGUGGUGAUCACCAACACCUGCUCACAUCACUAACAGAGUAUGCCUCUUUGCCAGAAAGUCCAGUCUGAAUCUGAAUAAGCCCCAAAUUUAACUACAAGCUUGGAGGAAUACAGAAGACCCAGGAGCAUGUUAAAUCACCCCUUCAAGAUGUUUGGAAUUUUCCAUAAUAAACAAUUGUUUUUGAAAGCCCACUCUGGACGGGGAAAAUGGAAUAUUAUCUUCCUCUUUACAUUCCUGCUACAACAAUCCUAACCUCCCCGGAGGCAAACGGAUGCUCAGAAACUGCACACAGGAUUGUAAUAGAGAAAAGCAACUGACAUAUUUCCAAAAAUAUUAUCCCCAUUUCAGAAAAUUUAUUUUUGGUGGAAAAUG